rnacentral:rRNA from 1 species
CCUACGGGCGGCAGCAGUGGGGAAUAUUGGUCAAUGGGCGCGAGCCUGAACCAGCCAAGUAGCGUGAAGGAUGACUGCCCUACGGGUUGUAAACUUCUUUUAUAAAGGAAUAAAGUGAGGCACGUGUGCCUUUUUGUAUGUACUUUAUGAAUAAGGCACGGCUCACUCCGUGCCAGCCGCCGCGGUAAUACGGAGGAUUCGAGCGUUAUCCGGGUUUAUUGGGUUUAAAGGGAGCGUAGAUGGGUUGUUAAGUCAGUUGUGAAAGUUUGCGGCUCAACCGUAAAAUUGCAAUUGAUACUGGCAGUCUUGAGUACAGUUGAGGUAGGCGGAAUUCGUGGUGUAGCGGUGAAAUGCUUAGAUAUCACGAAGAACUCCGAUUGCGAAGGCAGCUUACUAAACUGUCACUGACAUUGAGGCGCGAAAGUGUGGGUAGCAAACAGGAUUAGAUACCCGUGUAGUC